rnacentral:rRNA from 1 species
CGGCAUCGACCAGAGGGAAAAAGGAAGCAAUCCGCUUUGAGAUGGUCUCGCGUCCGAUUAGCUAGUUGGUGAGGUAAUGGCCCACCAAGGCGACGAUCGGUAGCCGGACUGAGAGGUUGAACGGCCACAUUGGGACUGAGACACGGCCCAGACUCCUACGGGAGGCAGCAUG